GGGAGCCGGCCUCCUUAACCCUUCGCUGACCUGGCAUCCGCGCCCCAGCGGGCCGGGGAGCAGAGUCCAGCCGGCCAGGGAAGCCCAGAGCCCUCCUGCCCCCGCCUGGACGUUCUCGGCAGGUGCCCGGUGGUGGCGGGAACAGCAGCGAACCAAGACCCGGGCAGGAAGCCUGAGGGGAGGCGCGCGCGACCCUCCCCCGCCUCCUGCGCUCUGCCCUCAGCCUUUGGCUUCCUCGUUCGCGCCGGGCCCGGAGAGGCCGCCCCUUCACCUGCAUUGCUUCUUCCGACCGGGAGGAGAUGGGCCAGGUCCGCCGUCCCAGGCCCGACUUCCGGGCCCUCCCCGCUCGCACGGAGCCGAUCCCCUUUCGAGAAGGGGCUAGCCAGUGCUUAUGGAAUGCAGAUUCCUCAGCUUGGAUCCAGGCCCAGUGAAUCAGAUGCUUUGAGGUGGGACCAGGAAUCUACAUUCUUAUUCUCCCAACUCACCCCCACCAUUGAUCUUCUGCAGAGUGAAGGCUGACCUUCCUGGGACAAGGCUGAAAACGAGUCUAGUCCACGCAGAAUCUGGCAGUUUCCAACAUGGUGCAUCGGGGGGCUCACUGGAGAAUCUGAAAAGGAGAAGCGUGAGGUGUGAUGGAGCUGGGUUACCAGCUUUGCAUCUUCUAGGGAGGCUUAUUCCAGGCACCUGUCUGUGGACCAGGGCUGACCCAACCCACAGACACACCAUUCCUGGAACAGCACGGGUUUGAGGAAGAAUGGUAUGACCAACUCUACACAAAGCUAGAGGAGUCCCAAUACAUGCAGAUUUUGGGAACAAUCUAGGUGAUUUAAAUUUAGCUCCAGGCAUUCCCAAGGGGACCCAAUGAUAGCCACAAUCUUCCCAUUGCCACGAAGGGCAAACAGCUUCUUGAAUUUCACCUUCACUGUCUUGUGUCCAUAAACCCCAUGAACGCUCCCAGGACAAAACGCUCCUGGUUCCUCUCCCUCUGUCUGCUUGGCCUCUUGAUUCAGCCUUCUGUUGCUUCUCUUUCUUCCGUGAGUCGCCCAAUGCCUCUCUCCUCUGUGUCUGCUUCAGCGUUUCCAUUUCCCUUAGUUAAUCAAACCACCUCUACCUGCUCUUCCAUUUCUCCAGGGCAGCAGGACUCGGGAGAAAGUUGAAGCAAACCAAGGCAAAGUCAAGAAGCAAAGAAAGUAACAUGCGAGUGAGUUUGGCUUAGUGCCUAGCUUCCAUGCCCAGGCUGUCCACAGUGGGCAAAGCAGGUUCCCCCAUGGACAGUGGUCGAGCCUAACUAGGCCACCUAAAACUGCUCCUGCAAAUUUCAGUCAAAGGAAAAGCAGAUGGACUGACUGACUGGGACAAAGAAAACUGCCCGCACCGCCCUUCUCCCUCCGAGAAUUCUUAAGUACUUGACCCUGAUUCUGUACAUUCCGAAAGUCACAUUCUUCUUCUAUCAAAAACUGAGAGAUGUGACAAAAUGUACUGAAGGGAUAAUGUCUAGGUUGUGGCCUUAGAUACCCAGCCUAGUUUCUUCCCAUUCUUCCUAACCUUCAAACCUGUCACAGCCAUGUAAUCUAUGACUCAAACUAUUAUUUAACCAUGAAAAAGACAAACCAGGAAAUUAGAGGCUGAAUGACCUAAAAUGUAUUCCAUUCAACUAAGCUAAUCUCCUAAUAAGGGUGUGUAUAAUAAUAAGUCAUGCUAUAUCUGUUCUGGAAGAUGUGAACAUGGCAGGGAACAGUGCGUGGUGACUGCAGAUCCCGACUUGUCGAGCUUUGUCCUCAAAAGGAUAAAUGCCUGGUCCUAGGCCAAGUUGCCUAGCAGUUUGCUAAACGAGUCUUAACAUUUGGGAACCCAUGUCUUGUGACGGAGAGUGCCCAAUGCUCACAAUGACCACGUUCAAAUCCUGGCACUGCCACUUCCUAAGCCAGCAAGGCACUCACCUGCCCUCCCCUAGUCUCGUCUGCUGUGAAAUGGCAGUGACAGCAAUACCCAUCUCCUGGGGCUGCCGUGAGGACAGAUGAGCAAAGCGCUUGGCAUCAGGGAGCAGCUCCCUCCCUAAACCACCCCCAUUCAACUGUUGCUGUAAGUUAAGCAGCAAAUUGGCAAGACCAAGACUGCUGGAGGCCCCACAAAGUGGGGUUCCACGGAGUCACUGGAAAAUAGUCAAGCAUCCCGAGUCAGAGAGAGAAGAGGGUCCCCUAGGAGGCCCAGGCAGCUGGCGGGUGGAGCGCUGCACUGCAAGCCAAGGACAGCCACUCAGAGCGUGGGUGGGAGGACACAGGGGGCUGAACUCCAGUCUUCCUGCAUUAGCUCAAUGCGCUGCAUCCCCACCCUCCCCGUGUUCAUCCUCACGUGAAACUCAGCACACACUGACCUGGCACCCACUACAUGCACGACCCCGGCCAAGUGGAGAGCUGUAGCAGGAGCGAGUUUAAGAAGUGAUUGUUGGCCUUAGAGAAUUGAUAACCAGACGUUUCUGCCCAGAUUCAGAAAUCUGUCCUUUUAGAAGCUAUUGUAAGGAUAUGACCAAAUGCUGAAAAAUUCUUAUUUCAGGGCUGUGUUUUUUUGUUUUUGUUUUUUUUUUAAGUAGAGAGACAAAGAGUUCAAAAAAUGUUCUGGAAAUGUCAAUACCCACUGAAUCUUGGUAAUAUGUAGGGGGCAUGAUUAAUCUUUAAGCGAAAUGAGGACAGUGUGGGUAAAUGUAAAAAGUCCAUUAUUUUGAGAGAUACAUACUGAAAUAUUGACAGAUGAAGUGGUAUGACCUGAUAUAUCAGACUUACUUCAAAAUUAUAUGGGAGGUGGGAAAGCAGAUGAUGAUUUAAACAGACAGGAUUGGCCAGGAGUUGGUGGUGCUGGUGAUGGGCACACGGGGGUUUAUCAUACCACUCUGUCUCCUGCGUAUGUUUGAAAUUUUGCAUAAUAAAAUGUUUCCAUAAAAGCUGAAAAAAAGU